ACGAAUAACACUACUUCUAGGGCUCUGUCAUACUAAGUGAGUUUGAAACACACACUAGAAACGCCUCCUGUCGACGGACAACUUGAUGGCCCAAACGACAAAAAACGACGACGCAUCGGCCGACCAAUCAAAUAGAGACAAGACUACCGGAAAAACGGAUCACGAAGGAUACCCGUACAAAACUCGGAGUGCUAACGUAAUAGACAAGUCUGUCGCUUUUAAGGUCGUUCUGUAGUAAAUUGGUCUCCUUUUCACUUCAUCAUUAAUAUGUAGUCAACACUUGCCGGUGUUAGUGUUAGGACUUUAUAAUAAGUUGCAAUAAAGCUAAGAUGUGACGGAACUUGAGCAGCAAUUGUACGAGCGUCAGAGCUUGUAAUGUCCACAGGUCAUUUCUGCUUGUAUACAGCAAACGUACUUUAAGCCAGUGACGUUACUGUAGAUUAACUAUAGCCUUAACACUUUUCGUUUAAAGUUGAAAUUAACGUCACGGUGGAAGUUUUCAUGGGGUCACGCUGCCCCCUGUUGUCGACCCUAGGUAUUACAAUGGUAUUACUACUUAAUUAAGAUCAACCCUUACUCCAGGCUUGCUUUAGCAUUGAAUGUAAAGCUGAUCUUUACAAAUAACAUGACAUUCUGAAACCCACUAAGCGAUGAAACAAGAAUGAGUGUAGCGCUUCAAAAUGGCUAAUAGAAGGAGACAUUUUCAAACUAAUAAAAAUGGAAUUUUCUCUUUGGUUUUCUCAUUUGACAUAGUUGAAGAUUUACAUUAAUGUAGCCAAGUCCAGCAUUUUACACUGGGGAAAAGGAGGGUGAACAGCAAAACCAGAUAUGUUAACCUCACACAAUACAGGCACUCAUACAAAUGUAUGGUAGCCAGGAAUUCAUUCUGAGGGGAUGAGAAGUACAAGAAUCAUAAUUCCAUUCAAGAUCAAUCAGCUGACAUUGUCAUAAACUAUAUACAGUAUCAAGGUGCUUUGGCCUUUGGUGUUUCAUUUGUGGCGGAACGUCUGAAGGAUGGAAGGACUGGGAGAGGAACAAUAUCUCCUCUGGCAUACGAGAGGACUGCCACCCUGGUCUGCAUCGGGACUACCUUCAGGGGGUACCUGGAUGGUUCAGGAGCCAUGGACUGCCAUGGACUGCAAGCACUUCUGCCACACUAAGAAGUGCUGCAGGAAGGUCAUCGGGGAGCAUAUCCGUGUGCAUUAUAAAAGGGGGCCGCCUUACUGCAUUCGGGGAGCUGGAGUCGGGAGAUGGAGGACGGAGCUUGUGGGAGAGGAGUGCAGGCGGCAGAGAAGAGUAGAAGAAGAGAAGGAAAGGACUGUGAGCAAUGUUAGAGAUUUGUGCAUUGUGUGAUGCUAUAAAAACAAAGGAGAAAAUUAAACGUGUGUG